rnacentral:rRNA from 1 species
UACGUAGGUGGCAAGCGUUGUCCGGAAUUAUUGGGCGUAAAGCGCGCGCAGGCGGUUCUUUAAGUCAGAUGUGAAAGCCCACGGCUCAACCGUGGAGGGUCAUUGGAAACUGGAGAACUUGAGUACAGAAGAGGAAAGCGGAAUUCCACGUGUAGCGGUGAAAUGCGUAGAGAUGUGGAGGAACACCAGUGGCGAAGGCGGCUUUCUGGUCUGUAACUGACGCUGAGGCGCGAAAGCGUGGGGAGCAAACAGG